rnacentral:lncRNA from 1 species
UUCCUGACCUCCUCUGACAGACACACUAUCAACUCCACGUUUAAUAUAAAGAAACACAGAAAAAGAAUACUUCAAAAUGAGAAGAUCCUGCCAUGGAAAAGACGACUGGGCGGACAUAAAGUGGAAAGGAGGGGAAAUAAUUCACACCAUGCAGCAGGACACCUUCAGCUGCGGGGUUUUUGUAAUGCAGGUUUGAUAGUUAUAUUUUAAAUAAUUAAGCUGUUAUGUGACAAUUAGGUUAAACUAUUUUAUUUCUUGGUGUAGAUGGCCAAGGAAGUUGCACAGAACUUCCCCAACAUCCCCUCCCAAAUUGAUAUGGAACUUUCAAAAACACAUGGAGCAACUGCGAAAAGAAAUGGCUGAGGAUAUGCUAAAAAUGUCUGAGUUCAACAAAGCCAACUGCUUCAUGUGUGCCACUGAUAAAGAACCUGGAUGUGGCCCAAAGACUGACUGGAAAUGAAGACAAGAGUUCAACAGAGUAAAGAACACAAACUGGAAGUGCAGUCUUUGUUGUUUAAAAUGUAUGCUAUUCCCCAUCCACACUGAAGAGGCUCUGAAAUGUACAUCAACCAGGGAUAAAGAGAAAGUUAACUCUGAAAUGUUUCGUACUUAUUUGAAGUAAAGUGUCUGACAUGUUGGAAAAGACAUGUUUGACAUGUUGGAAAAUCUACAAUUUGUUUAAUUUGUCAAUAUUACAUUUUAUUCAUUGAUUUACUGGCCACCAUUACUGUGGUUACAUGUUCAGUAUAUGUAUUGACCAGCAAACCCACUGCAGCCUAGCUCACUCUCCGUCCCUGCUUUGGACAAUUAAUAGCAUGACUCUCGUACUUGGCCCUAGUCAAGGGUAGUCAGUGGACAUUCUGAACCUUGUUUGAAGUCAC